GCGGAUGAACUGUGGGUAGCGGAGAAAUUCCAAUCGAACCCGGAGAUAGCUGGUUCUCUCCGAAAUAGCUUUAGGGCUAGCCUUGAAAUAGAUUACCGGAGGUAAAGCACUGAAUUGGCUAGGGGCCGAGAGGUUACUGAACCUUAUCAAACUAAGAAUGCCGGAUAAUCGUUUUUCAGGAGUCAGACAGUGGGAGAUAAGUUUCAUUGUCAAAAGGGAAACAGCCCAGACCCACAGCUAAGGUCCCCAAGUAUAGUUAAGUGGAAAAGGAUGUGGAAUUGCACAGACAACCAGGAUGUUGGCUUAGAAGCAGCCACUCAUUAAAAGAGUGCGUAAUAGCUCACUGGUCGAGUGACUCUGCGCCGAAAAUUUAACGGGGCUAAACUAUACACCGAAGCUUGGGAUACAUCUAAUGUAUGGUAGGAGAGCGUUCUGUAUGGGGAGAAGUCGUAGCGAAAGCGGCGGUGGACUAUACAGAAGUGAGAAUGCCGGAAUAAGUAGCGAGAAUUAAGUGAGAAUCUUAAUGGCCGAAAGUCUAAGGUUUUUGGAGGAAGGUUCGUCCGCUCCAAGUAAGUCGGGAGCUAAGGUCAGGCCGAAAGGCGUAGCCGAUGCACAUACGGUUGAUAUUCCGUAACCAUCUGUAAUUUAAGCAAAGGGACACUUCAAAAGGGUGUGACCCGGGCGUUGGUUGACCCGGGCGUAAGGGACCGAAAUUAGAGUAGGGAAGCACACUUAGCUGAAGGCGAGAAAAGCUUUGCGUAUAGAAACAGAUGCCCGUACCGCAAACCGACACAGGUGGACAGGAAGAGAAUUCUAAGGCCAGCGGGAGAAGGGUAGUUAAGGAACUCGGCAAAUUGACUCCGUAACUUCGGAAUAAGGAGUGCUCGAAAGAGCCGCAGAGAAUAGGCCCAGGCGACUGUUUAGCAAAAACACAGGUCUCUGCCAAAUCGAAAGAUGAAGUAUAGGGGCUGACACCUGCCCGGUGCCGGAAGGUUAAGAGGAGGAGUGAGAGCUCCGAAUUGAAGCCCCGGUAAACGGCGGCCGUAACUAUAACGGUCCUAAGGUAGCGAAAUUCCUUGUCGGGUAAGUUCCGACCCGCACGAAUGGUGUAACGAUCUGGGCACUGUCUCAACUACCCACCCGGCGAAAUUGUAGUACCGGUGAAGAUGCCGGUUACCUGCGGCAAGACGGAAAGACCCCAUGGAGCUUUACUGUAGCCUGAUAUUGGGUUUCGGAAAUCUAUGUACAGGAUAGGCGGGAGACUAGGAAACAUGAGCGUCAGCUUGUGUGGAGUCGAUGUUGGGAUACCGCCCUUAGGUUUCUGGAAUUCUAACCUGCGGCCGUGAAUCCGGUCGGGGGACAUUGUCAGGUGGGCAGUUUGACUGGGGCGGUCGCCUCCGAAAAGGUAACGGAGGCGCUCAAAGGUUAGCUCAGCACGGACGGAAACCGUGCCUCUGAGUGUAAACGCAAAAGCUAGCCUAACUGCGAGGGUGACGGCCCGAGCAGUAACGAAAGUUGGAGUUAGUGAUCCGGCGGUAUGUGAAUGGAAAUGCCGUCGCUCAACGGAUAAAAGCUACCCUGGGGAUAACAGGCUGAUCUCCCCCAAGAGUCCACAUCGACGGGGAGGUU
rnacentral:rRNA from 1 species